UCCUCAGUCUUUGCCCACUCUUAUACCAGGGAGUGUCACUGUUUGUCACAUCCAGGACUGUUGGCUUGUUUUUCAGAUAAGGCCUUGCUAUGUAGCCUAUGUUGGCCUUGAACUCCGGCACUUCCUCUGCCUCAGCCACAAGUGAUGUUGAUGGAAGGCACUGUGAGAAACCACUGGCUAGGAGAACGCAUUCCUCCUACGGGGGACCCUGGCCCGUUUUCCAGCUCAGCUCAGCUCCUUCCGGCAUGGGUUUUCUGCCUAGGCAAAUUUGUUUUUCUUUACAUUUAUUUAGCCCAUGUGUUGAGGGUAGGGUGGCAGUGCGUGCCUUGGCACAUGCGUGUGUAGGUCAAAAGACAGAACAGGAGUCUGUUCUCUCCUUCUACCGUGUGGGUUCUGGGGAUCAAACUCAAGCCCUCAAGUUUGGUCACAAGCUUCUUUAUUCACUGAGCCAUGUCCAUAUGCCCUGUUCUGGGCUUUUUGUACAGCCUGGGCUAAAUACAGCAGUCAGACUCUCAGCUUCCAGAAAUAACUGCUGGGAUCUGCCCUCUUGGUACCUUGAACGUGCUGGCCCAGGUUAACUCAAAGCCCAGUCUCCGGGAACCAUUGGUCAGCCCGAGGAGCAGCAUGUCACCGGAGUGUGUAAGUCCACCGUGACGAGGGGUGGAUGAGAGAGAUGCGUCUGCUUGGCUUGACAAGCUGGCCUGAUGUAAGCAUGGGUAGUCAUGACAGCAAAGGCCAUCUGGCACAAAGAACUGGACGGUUAACACCCAGAUAAAAGGCAAGUCAAGAUAAGGAGCGUAAAGAGAGAACGGUGCCAUCACUUGUGUCCCUGGAUCCAGCCAUUCCUGAAACCAGACAGCUCUGAGAUGUAAACUAAGAGGGCUGCUCUCUCUUUCUCCUUCUCUCUUCCCCGCACCUCCUCUGUUCAGGCUCUGGUUUGAAUCAGUUUCUGUCACUGGCAGCAGAGAACAUUGUGACUAAAGCAUGUCUUCCUCCUUAGUUCUCUAUCUGUCCCCCAUGUGGUUAUCUUCCUGCCCAUCCACUUUUGACCCCAACGGUUCCUACUUCUCUUUCCUCAUGUCCACUUGGAGAACAGUGGCACCCUCUAGGGACACAGUGGGCAGAGUUUCCACAUGUCCUUAUUCCCAUAGUUCCUGCUUUGGACCUGGAUCUGCACCUUGGGUGAUAGGUGAAUUUAAGAGAACAGACAUACUUUGCUAGCUGGUGUGAGCUGGUCUGGUCAGAGGGACAGCCAGGAGCUCCUUUGCUGUCCAGGCCCCCGGAGCAGCGUCAGCAUCCUCUUCCGCCCACACUCUCAGGCAGUAGAGCCGGGGCUGUGCAGGCAGGUGAAGGAAUACUUGAUUCCCAGAGGCUUCCAGAGGGGAGGAGGGGAAAGGUGAGUAAUCUGGGACAAUCGACCUGGUGUCUUGGUAAUCUGGUGUGCCUCUUUUCCUUCACAGCUGUGUUCUCCCUAGAGGGGUUUCACCCCCGCCUCAGGAAGAGGAAGCCGCCUCCAAGUGUCAUAGAGGGUCAAACAGUCCCAUGGGAGCCGCUCUUGUGGAGGAGGAAACCAAAGUACACAUCGAGGCCCCGGGUGACACAAUCAAUGAGGACUGAGAAUCAAGCGAUGACAAACUAGCUCCAGAGCCCAAAGAUCACAUGGCCACAGCACAGAGCCUCUCAGCAUUGUGGAGUGACAGAUGCAUGCUGAGGCCACCUUAAGGAGUUCGUGGGUGCCAGAGAGGCUGGGGGUGGAGCAGGGCCUCCAAAGCCAAUAGACCUGGACCACAGGUGGCUCUGGCCAACUGCUCUGGGUCUGUCAGCGUUGGCUGUUGUGUCUGUGACACAGAAACAUAAGCUCCGAGGAUACUGAGGACUGCCGAGCUCCAUCACAUUCAAGAACAGCAGUGGCUAUGACCUCUCUGGCUUUCCGGGAUGCAGAGGGGAUCUGACACAGACCGUGAACACACAUGGAUGGAGUCCGAGGAACUACUGUGUUUGGUUUCCCCUGGAGACUCCCUCUGAGUUCCAGAGGGCUGCCCGGAAACACAUCAUCUUCAGGGCCAGGUCCCUAUUUAUGAAAACCCAACCUGUCUGGCCAAAUCAAGAGUCUCGUAUUUAUUGACAUCAUGCAAAAUUCAAGGCCGACUCAAAUUUCAGUUUCACGUUUUGCCUCACUUAACUAGCUGGGGAGAAGAAUUUCAUGUGUGUGGCAUUUUCCUAUUUCAGAUAACGAGCAGAGGAACUGGGGGGCCAGCAAGAUGGUUCAGUGGGUGUAGCUGCUUGCCCUCGAGCCGGAUGGGCUCAGUUUGAUCCUCAGGCCGGCCUGGUAGAAGGAGAGAGACUAGUCCUGAGAGCUGUCCUCUAACUUUCCACACGCGCACAAUAAAGGAGUUUCCCACCUCCGUGUCCUCUCUGUUCCCAUGGGGCCAUACGCCCCUCUCUCAGCACCUCCUACCUUGAUUGUCUGAGAGUCAGGCACACCUGAUUGCCCCUCCCCCCUCCCGCCAGG
rnacentral:sRNA from 1 species